rnacentral:lncRNA from 1 species
GAGCGAAUGGGCCGGCGACUGUGGAGUUAGCGUCCUCAAUGUGGACGCCCUGAGCUCCCAUUAGGAGCCGCUGGCUGCGGCAGCAGGGGACUAGCGUGAGAGUUUCAUGAGGGAGGAGCUUUUUUUUCGUCCAUUUUGUUCCCUAAUGAAUCUGAACUGCCCAGAAUGGAACCUAGUAUAUAAGGCAUUCAAGAAAUACUCGUUCAGUGAAUGACUACAUUGACUUGAGACAUGGGGGAACAUCUUGCAAUGACCUGGUGCCCUUUGAAGGCAAAGUUGGCUAAAAAAAAGAAAAGAACAUGGAGGCAGAUAUAAUCACAAAUCUUCGAUGCAGGCUCAAAGAGGCUGAAGAAGAGCGACUAAAAGCUGCACAGUAUGGUUUACAACUAGUAGAGAGUCAAAAUGAAUUACAGAAUCAAUUGGAUAAAUGUCGUAAUGAAAUGAUGACCAUGACUGAGAGAUUACUUGACUUGACGUGUUGACAUACCAUGGAGCACAUUUUACUUCCUUGACAAGGCACAGAAGCAGUAAGAGUUAUGAACAAGAAAAAUAUACCCUU